rnacentral:rRNA from 1 species
AUUGAACGCUGGCGGAAUGCUUUACACAUGCAAGUCGAACGGUAGAGGGGGCAACCCCUCGAGAGUGGCGAACGGGUGAGUAAUAUAUCGGAACGUGCCCAGUCGUGGGGGAUAACGUAGCGAAAGUUACGCUAAUACCGCAUACGAUCUAAGGAUGAAAGCGGGGGAUCGCAAGACCUCGCGCGACUGGAGCGGCCGAUAUCAGAUUAGGUAGUUGGUGGGGUAAAGGCUCACCAAGCCAACGAUCUGUAGCUGGUCUGAGAGGACGACCAGCCACACUGGAACUGAGACACGGUCCAGACUCCUACGGGAGGCAGCAGUGGGGAAUUUUGGACGAUGGACGCAAGUCUGAUCCAGCCAUUCCGCGUGCAGGAUGAAGGCCCUCGGGUUGUAAACUGCUUUUGUACGGAACGAAAAGGUCUCCAUUAAUACUGGGGGCUCAUGACGGUACCGUAAGAAUAAGCACCGGCUAACUACGUGCCAGCCGCCGCCGUAA